UUCAAAGAUGAAGCGGCACUGGGCUCCGACGACGUCAGACAACGUUCGGUCUUGAUGGAUAUGCCUUUUUGCGGCAGGCCUAGAAAACCUCGCCCACUGAGA
rnacentral:snoRNA from 1 species